rnacentral:rRNA from 1 species
GAUGAACGCUGGCGGCGUGCCUAAUACAUGCAAGUCGAACGGGGAGUAUUAAUUUCGAGUUUUUUACUCCUAGUGGCGAACGGGUGAGUAACGCGUUGGUGACCUGCCCCGAAGAGGGGAACAACAGCUCGAAAGGGCUGCUAAUACCCCAUGUGGUCGUACAGGUUAGAGGCUGAACGACUAAAGGAGCAAUCCACUUCGGGAGGGGCCUGCGUCCCAUCAGCUAGUUGGUAAGGUAACGGCCUACCAAGGCGAAGACGGGUAGGGGGCCUGAGAGGGUGGCCCCCACACUGGCACUGAAACACGGGCCAGACACCUACGGGUGGCAGCAGUAGGGAAUAUUGCACAAUGGGCGAAAGCCUGAUGCAGCAACGCCGCGUGCGCGAAGAAGGCCUUCGGGUUGUAAAGCGCUUUUCUGGAGGAAGAGGAAGGACGGUACUCCAGGAAUAAGGAUCGGCUAACUACGUG